GGUAAUAGCUCAGUUGGUAGAGCACUAGCUUCCCAAGCUGGGGGUCGCGGGUUCGAACCCCGUUUAC
rnacentral:tRNA from 1 species